UGUCCUUCCCUGACAAAUGUGCAGCUUUGU
rnacentral:piRNA from 1 species